rnacentral:rRNA from 1 species
GUCUAUGGCCAUAGCACCCUGAACACGCUUGGUUUUGUCUGAUCUUGGAAGCUAAGUAGGAUUGGGCCUAGUUAGUACUUGGAUGUGAGGUAGUGGACU